AAGUCGUAACAAGGUUUCCGUAGGUGAACCUGCGGAAGGAUCAUUAGAAAUCACCGGCCUGGCCGGUAUAAAAUUCUAUCCACCCUUGUGUGCAAACAAUUGAAAAAAAAAGAGAAAAUAUUGGAUAGUUUUUUGUAUCCAACUUCUCUAAAAUUCUUUAUAAACUCCAUCAAAUUUUGAAUAAAAACAUUUUUUUUUUAAUAAAAAUAUUAUACAACUUUCAACAACGGAUCUCUUGGCUCUC
rnacentral:misc_RNA from 1 species